rnacentral:lncRNA from 1 species
GCUUCUCACCACCAUUAUCUCUCCUUAUGAUUAAACCAAUUAGGGAACGUCCUCUAAUUAAUUACUAAUCAACAAAUUGCCAAGGAACGUCCUUGGGCCUUAGGCAUCAAAACAAUUGUCAAUUGCAUUAAGAAAUAGAGAGAUCCAAUCCUAACUACCCAAACGUAUGGAGAUAACGCUAGAUCAUGCAAUUUCCUUGGGUUUUAUCCCAAGUGUUCU